ACUGCGCUCGGACCUUCCGCACCUGUCGCACGCACUUGCGCUUUCCCCGCUCUAAGCCGCGCUGACGCUGACUUACUGGUGACGCGUUACUUUCGAUCGCCUGGUCAUGGCCUACCCGGGAUACGGAGGGGCGGUAAGUCCUCGCGAGCUGUGGCGACCCCGCGGGCCGCAUCACCAUGCGGAGUUCACCCUGUGGCCCUGGCAGUGACCUCUGGUACCAGGCGACGCCGGGACACCGUAAGGUGCUAGAAGCUAGGGCUGGGCGGGGCCCUGCGCCCAGGGGAGAACCGCGAGCUGGAGUCUGGUCCAGAGCCUCAAGAAACGUCCUUGUCCAGGCGGUGGUGUGAAGUGUUUGUGCUUUCUAGAUUUUGUUUAUAGAGUGGAGGAGCAAAAGACCAUGUCUUGUUCCAUUUACCUUUUGUGAUUUAUCCCCAACUUAAGUAGUUUUUCUAGUUAUCUUUUUACCACCAUAUCUUGUCUUUUAAGUUGCUUAUGAAAAAAAAAAUUGAGAUGUACGUUCAGUGCCUCCUAAACUUUUCUUUUUCUAUAGUACCAAGCGCGACCGGAUUUUCUAGACUUUGCUUUUGGAGGGGUUCGGCUGUUCCCUCUUCUGUAACCUUAAUCCUCAGUACCUCUGAGAGUUUCAAGUCAUUAUUGCAACCUGUGGGUAGACCCUUCCUCUUUCGAAAGAAGCUAAACUUUCACUCCCCUCAUCAAUGUUCUGCCCAGUGAGGCCGGCUAUGUAGUGUGGCUGGGCAGUGGUCACUGCAGUGCUGGCAGAAGAGAGCAGAUUUCCUAGGCCUGUUGCUAUUUGUUGUUCCCUAAAAAGAGACAUUAGUGUUUUGUUACAGAUAGGUGUAGACAUUGACAUGUGAUUAUGGGCUUCAAAAAAUAAUCCCUACCCUUGGGAGUAAGUGAUUAGCUUAAAAAGUAAUUUUUCAGUUCUAGGCCUUCAGCUUCAAUACACACUUUACUGAAACUGGUUUGCUUGUAGUUACUUGCUUGAAUUCCAGCUAGCAUUGUGCACUUUCAAAUAUAUACUCCUCAUUAGUCAUUUAAAUGGACUGAGAACGUCCUUAAGGUAAUGUUAUCAGUCCACCUUUUAAUACUUGUUAUAUUUAGUUGUUAUAUUAAAAAAAAAUAGAAAGUAGUUUUUGCUAGGAGAUACACCUUUGUCUAAUAAAGUAUAUAUUUCACGGGAUGCAUUUCCAAUAAAUUUUCAUUUGUUUAAUGAUUAUUUAUCAGAGAUAGCUGAGGAUGUAGCUUAGUUGGUAGAGUGUUUCCCCUGGGUUGGAUCCUCAGAACCACAUAAAUUGGGCAUGUUAGCCUGGCCUGAAGUCCCAGCCCUUGAGAGGUGGGGGCAGGAACUACAAGAGUUCAAGGUCAUUCUCAGCUUGAGGCUAAUCUGAGCUCCCAGAGACCUUGUAUAAAUUAGUUUACAAGGGCCAAACCCAGCUAGAACCAGCUGAGCACGGUAGGCCAAGGCAGAAUUGUUGAGAGUUUCAAGGCCAGCCUGUGUCUGCAAUGGGGUCUAGGCUCUCCUGAGGCACAGUACAAAAUCUUGUCCCCCAAAUGUACAAAGGCUAAAAUAAAAUAAGAAUCCUCAAGUUGUAUACUUUUGUAUAUUAUUAUUUCUGUACUAAUAAAAUUGUAUCUUGACCUAAAGGAAUUUUCUUUCUCAUUUUGGUCAUAAGAAAGAAAACAAAAUAAACAUAUGCAUAUUGAAGUAUAAAUGUGAGAGGAACAUCUGUGUUUUUUGUAAAUUUUAAGCAUUAAAUACACAGAAAUUUAAGGGAUCCAAAUCGUUACAAUUUUUAUAUAAUUUCAUUUUGGAAAACUAUGUUUCUUCAAGAAAAAAUACUAGACCACUUCCUCUAAAAUCCUCUAAAAUUAAGGUUUCUUAAUGUAUAAAUAUACUUGGAUAUGAAAUUUAUUUUAAAAUCACACACACAUAUAUAUAAGUUUCCGUAGAACUAUAAAAAAAUAAAAUUUUUAUAAACUAUUUUAAACUGAUAAACCACAGAAGAAAGUAUAUUACUUGUGAAAAUACAAUGAACAUCUGUAAUAUUUUUUAUCACACAUUCAAGCACUAUAAUGUUUUCUAUCUUUGCCUUUCAUUUCUUAGUUGAUUCUUACACAUUUGCUAAUUAUAAAUACAGAUUUUACCUCAAACCCAGUAAUGAGAUUUAGUGCCAGGAAAAGCAAAAGUCCAGAUUUUUAUGUUGACAUCAUGGUUUUAAUUUUUAAAAAUUGUUUAAAAUACAAUGCCCAACAAAAUAGAGCAGUGGUACAAACUAUCCAUCCAGACAACCAACCAACCAGCCAACCAACCAACCAACCAGCCAGCCAGCCAGCCAGCCUGCCAGCCAGCCAGCCAACCAGUCAACCAACCAACAAACCAACCAACCAGUCAAACAACCAACCAAACAGCCAACCAAUCAAACAGCCAACCAACCAACCAAACAAACUAACCCAAGCAGAAUCAUGUGGUUAUAUGUAAUAAUUAUUCAUCAUAUGAGAAGUUUAUUUUAGUGUGGUAUCUAGGAAAUAGUUGCUCUGUGAGUUUCCUCAAUAAAAUAUACAAAAGUGACUUAAACAAAUACUAUCUCCAAAAAUAAGAGUACUUCAUAAGGGACACACAAUUACAGUUUUGCUAAUCCUAAAGGUGGUGAGAAAAGUAAAAUAGUAUCAAACAGUACACCUACCUCACAUAUAAUUCCCAUGGAACUACCAAUGACAUCUAUGCAAUGUGCCUCUUUUCCUAGUGUAUAGCUACCUACCAACAAAGGAAGGAUGAUUCUAAAAGUAAUGGUACUGCACAGGAUGGCUUGUGGCCGGUACCCCACACACGAGGAAAAUGCAUGUAGUUCAGCAUCCAUAGAGCACAGUGUGAAGAUACUGUGUCUAGACACAGCAGAUACUCCAGAACAGAAAGAUAUCCACAAGGAGAGUUAAUGUAUAAAACCAUAGCACACAGUUAAAUAACGCACAUAUACUGCAGUCUUUAAAGAAAGGCGAUCAUCCUUCUCAUUGUACAAGGAUAGGGAGUAGUCAUUACAGUUACCUAUCAUGGUUUUGAUAACACACGCACACACUUGUAGAUACAUGUAGAGAAUGAGUGUGUAAGUGGAAUUUAUUUGUCAUAUUUCUCAAGUUAAAUUUCUGUGGAUCUGCAACUUCCAGGAAAGGAAAAAAUAAAAGCCCUCUUCACUGCGAGUUAAGAAAGGUCUCGAUUCUCCAUCCCGAAGAUUCACUUCAGACAUUUUGUUCUACCGUUCAUCUGAUAAUUAAAUUAAUGGAAUUUUCCAUUUCUGAAUGUGUAUUUUCAGUUUGCCAGUUGUUUCAACAAACAAGUGUCUUUUAAUGUUUAAACUAGCUGCUGCAAAAUAUUUAAGAGAGGAUUUAAACUUCAGAUCUGACGGAUUAAACAGCAAAUC
rnacentral:lncRNA from 1 species